AUGUUGGGGGAACAAUUCUAUGACUUUUAUUAUGAGGUUGAAAAAAUUGUGACGGCUGGAGGAGAGAAAAAUCAGGCCUCUGUCACUGUGGACAACAGUGCAUCACCCUCUUUCCCAAAGAAAGCCAGGAUGAAUUCAUAUCCUGCUUCUUCUGAUGGGCAAGGGGAAACCAGUGCAUCUGUGAUGGGAAAUUUCUCUUCUCAAAAAUAUGAUAAGGGGUCACAAAGAUUAUCUGCAGUAGCUGAAAGUGAGGAGGAGGGGGAAAGCGAUGAGGGAAAUCAUACUGAGCUUUUGCUCGAAUCUAUGGCCAGAGAAUAUGCACCUGAGAAAAUGUCUUAUCCUGAAUCACCAGCUGAAAAAUCUUAUGAGGAAAAAACUGAUGAGAUAUCAGGGGAUGAGAUGGAAAGGUCUCCUAAUGUUGCUGGCAAUAUGAAAAAAGAUUAUGUGGUGUGGCCAUCUCUGCCUCAUAUUGUGCCUCUUGAUGAAGGGUCCACUGAAGGGGGAUAG
rnacentral:rRNA from 1 species